UUCUCUUCAAUUCCACAGGCCACAGUCAUUGCUGCUAAAUCCCCUUUCUCAUACUCUUCCCAAGUAUGUUUGGGGAACCAAUCCAUGCUCUCAUUAGAACCAACUUUGGCAUUCCUCCUCCUCCCAACUAUCUCAAACAACAGCAUCCCAAAGCUAUAAACAUCACACUUAUGGGUUAUGGGAUGGUUUUUCAGUAAAAAUUCUGGUGCUGAGUAGCCUGGAGUCCCUCUAUAUCCUGAGACUGUCAGGUGGGUGCCGUCCCUGUUACAAAGCUUAGCAAGCCCAAAGUCUGCAACCUUAGGAAAGAAGUUAGCAUCAAGAAGAAUGUUACCGGGUUUUAUGUCAUAGUGAAUGAUUCUUUCUACACAUUCUUCAUGUAAGUAAGCUAUGCCCUUUGCUGUCCCAACUGCUAUAUGAUGCAGCUUCUCCCACUCGACUUCUUGUGCCUCGCUGAACAAGUACUUGUCCAGGGAUCCAUUUUCCAGGUAUUCGUAGACAAGUGCGCUCAUGAACUGAUCAUAGCAGAAACCAUAGAGCCUGACUAGAUUGAUAUGGUAAGUCCUGCCUAUGGUUCCCACCUCUGCCAUGAACUGUUCUUCAGCUUGUCUGUCUGGACUCCUAUUCAGGACCUUCACUGCAAUCUUGACCCCAUUGGGGAACUGCCCCUUGUAAACCAUUCCAAACCCUCCAGAACCCAGUGUUGUGGUGUAGUUAUCAGUGAAGCUGCAUAGCUGCUGAGCAGUGAACCUGACCGGCUUCUCCCUCGCUAAUUCUUGGAAGAACUUCUCCAUUGUUGGUGUAUCAACCUCCCAAACCUGUAUCGUAUUCACAGGUGGGGGAGCCACUGCCGCUUGCAAUUCUGUCACAAUAGCCUUCUUCGCUUUCCUUGCACAAACGAGAGAGAUAACAGCGAUAAUUCCAAGCACCACCAAGCUCAAUAUUACGGCUGCAAGUCAUGGGAGUUUGAACCAGUAAGAUCCCAACUUCAAACUGUUGUCUGUCAAUAUCGAAUUCCUUCGUAUUAUUGUCGCAGAAAGAACUUACCUCCUGCUGUAAUCCCAGAGUUGUUGCUUGGAGGAGAGUAGUCAUAUGAAGACAUCUACAAAGGUAGCAAAAUGGACCAAGUUAGAUAGGACUAUACAAUUCUCUAUUCAGUCAAGUAUAGAUAUAGAUUUUGUUUACAAAUCUCGCUGGCACCUUGGCUAGGUGAGCAAUUAAUUAACCAAAAAUUUCUUCAUUAGUUCAAGGUUUUGUGCAGUGCAGGCGUAUCAUACAUGACCCUUUAACAUACUAAGAACAAUCAAGUUAGUGAACUCACCCUCUUCGGAAGAUCACUCCUUGCUUUUCACCACCAGAAAUUGCAGCACAGCUUCUCUUUGCUCUUUGCUUCCUCCCAUUGCCUUUGUAUAUAUAUAUAUAUAUAUACAUGUAUUUGAGGGAGGAAGUUUUGGGGAAAUUUCUGUCAUAGGCCUUCAACUUGGUAGUCAACAAGGGGAAGGGAAAGAUCUACGGAACCUCUCUCUUUCACUAUCAAAUUCAAAGUGAAGAAGGAAAGAAAUUUCUCAAAAAAUUAUUUUAAUGGUAUGGAUUAUUAUGCCUAUGAGGGGAAGUUUCGGAAAAAUUCCUGCCAUUGACCUUCACGGUUGCAUUCAAAGAAUCAAAAAAUAAGAUAGAUAAAGGCAAGGAGAGAGCUACACCACCUUCGGCAAUGACAUGGAUUGGUAUCACGAAAUUUUUUAGAAAAGUCACUGACAGGCUUAAUUGCAAGGAGAUAUGGGAACUAAAUACAAGAGAAAUAUAAAUUUGUAAAAAAAAUUAUUAAUAUUUUUAAAUAUAAAAAUAUCUUCAUAUAUUAUCAUUUCUUUUAUAUCUUAAAUACAAAAUAAAUUACAUUUUAGUAUGUUUUCAAAAUUUUCAUAUUAUUACUAAGUACAGAAAUUUAUAUUAUACAUGCAUUAUUUUAUUUAAAUUCAAUAAAUAUAUUAUUACUUAUUUUAUUAUUUGCAAAGUUUUUUUAACAUUUAUAUGAGUUUUGAUUAAUUUUCAUAUAUUUUUUGUAACAAUAUUUCCCAUAUAUCCGAAAUAUCUAUAAAAUUUGACUAUUAAUAUAUAUGAGAAAACCAAUUUUUCAUUCUUAUUAUUAGAACGCAUAUGUAUUUUCUAAUUUUAUCUUUUAUUAUUAUUUUAAAUUUUAAAUUAUUAACUCUUUACUUUUAAUUUUUAAUUCUUAAUCUUUAAUUUUUAACGUUUAAAAUUUUAAAUUUCUAUUUUAUCUCAUUUGGGUAUAGUUCCUAUUUUUUAUUUUUAAAAUCAAAGCAAUAAUAACCUAUAUAUAAAAAAAAGUAAAAACUCUUUUACAAAAAAUAUAUAUUUAUGUUAUAUCUUCAAGAAUUUCUUUUAAAAAUAAAAAUAAAAAUUUCAGAUAGUAAACAUUACUUGUUAACGUAAGCUUCUAAAAGUUAUAAUAUAAAAAUUAUUACUAUUUUCUAUUUUUAAAAAUUGAAACAUGAAGCAUUCAAACAUAUACUAAAUUUUUAAUUUUUUAAAUAUUUAAUAAUAAUAAUAAUAAUAAUAAUAAUAUUUAGUAAUAAAUACAUAUAGGUCUAUUGAUAUUUAAUAGGCCGGCCACUAACCACCCAACCUAUUGAAUGCUGAUUGGGAUAUAUAUAUAUAUAUAUAUAGGUCUUUGUUGACCGGGUAUUAGAAGAAGUGAUGAUAUCAAUGCGUUGGCUAAGUUUGGUAGAGGAAAUUUCCUUGUUAAAUGUGGUAUUUGAAAUGCCACUCCCACCUUUCUCUUUCACCGUCAAGUGGAGAAAGAAAGAAAAGAAAGGACUAACAAGAACUUAAUGGUAUUUGGCUAUUUGCAGGGAUUUAGCAUGGUCUUCCCAUGAGCUCUGCUCAUCCUCACUCCACCAAAUUAGUACGCAAACGCAUCAUCAAAACUUAGCUGAACUUAACGAUAUAUAAGCAUAUUGCCCUAAAACAUGAUCAACUUACAUGGUGUAUAGCUAACACAAAGGCAACUACAAUAAUAUUAUACUACAAAUUUUUUAACAAACUCUACUUCAAUUUUCUUCUCAUUUCAUAGUUGAAACUUGAACCUCUCUCCCUUGAGUGCUUCCAUAGUUAAGAACUAGCUACUUGUAUCUCAUACUUGGCCAUGAUUGGUGUGGUUUCCUUGUACCAAAUUGAAUUGGUUUCUUUACUUGUUGCAUAGCUUGAACUUGUACCGGUUUCAUUUGCCUGCUGUAACACGUUUAUACCUACUGAGUAUAGAUAAUGAAACGGUUUUGGUGGUGGCAUGACUUCUACUCCUCCCUCCAGCAUCUUUACCACAGCACUCAUCAGAGGCCUUGAGUCGGGUGAGUCCUGAACACACCAUAGAGCCACCAUAGACAUUCUCUCUGCUUUCUCCCUGUCCUUCUCUUCAAUUCCACAGGCCACAGUCAUUGCUGCUAAAUCCCCUUUCUCAUACUCUUCCCAAACAUGUUUGGGGAACCAAUCCAUGCUCUCAUUAGAACCAAUUUUGGCAUUCCUCCUCCUCCCAACUAUCUCAAACAACAGCAUCCCAAAGCUAUAAACAUCACAUUUAUGGGUUAUAGGAUGGUUUUUCAGUAAAAAUUCUGGGGCCGAAUAGCCUGGAGUCCCUCUAUAUCCUGAGACUGUCAGGUGGGUGUUGUCCCUGUUACAAAGCUUAGCAAGCCCGAAGUCUGCAACCUUAGGAAAGAAGUUAGCAUCAAGGAGAACGUUGCCAGGUUUUAUGUCAUAGUGAAUGAUUCUUUGUACACAUUCUUCAUGUAAGUAAGCUAUGCCCUUUGCUGUUCCAACUGCUAUAUGAUGCAGUUUCUCCCACUCGAUUUCUCGUGCCUCACUGAACAAGUACUUGUCCAGGGAUCCGUUUUCCAGGUAUUCGUAGACAAGUGCACUCAUGAACUGAUCAUGGCAGAACCCAUAGAGCCUGACUAGAUUCAUAUGGUAAGUUCUGCCUAUGGUUCCCACCUCUGCCAUGAACUGUUCUCCAGCUUGUCUGUCUGGACUCCUAUUCAGGACCUUCACUGCAAUCUUGACCCCAUUCAGGAACUGCCCUUUGUAAACCACUCCAAACCCUCCAGAACCUAGUGUUGUCGAGUAGUUAGCAGUGAAACUGCAUAGCUGUUGAGCAGUGAAUCUGACUGGCUUCUCUUUUGCUAUUUCUUGGAAGAACCUCUCCAUUGUUGGUGCAUCAACCUCCCUCGCCUGCAAUUCUUUCACAAUGGGCUUCCUUGCUUUCCUUGCACAAAGGAGAUAGAUAACAGCGAUUUUUCCUACUACCACCAAGCUCGAUACUAUGACUGCAAGUCAUGGGAAUUUGAAUCAAUAAGAUCCCAACUUCAAUCUGUUGUAUAUAUUUCUCACAGAAAGCACUUACCUGCUGCUGCAACCCCAGAGUUGUUGUCUGUCGGAGGAGAGAAGUCUGAAGACAUCUACAAAGGCAGCAAAUUGGACUAAGUUAGAUAGGACUAUACAAUUCGCUAUUCAGUUGAAGUAUUUAUGUCGAUUUUGGGUACAAAUCCCCUGGGCACCUUGGCUAAGUGAGUGGUUAAUUAACCGAAAUUUUCUUCAUUAGUUCAAAGUUUUGUGCAUUGCAGGCUUGUUAAUCAUUCAUGAACCUUCAACAUACUAAGAACAAUCAGGUUAGUGAACUCACCCUCUUUGGAAGAUCACUCCUUGCUUUUCACCACCAAUGCACCACAACUUCUCUUCGCUCUUUGCUUCCCCCCACUGCCUUGACCUGAAAAUUCACCAAAGUUUCUUCACUCCUGAAUCAUAAUUCUGCAAUGGGUGUGAAGGGAAGAAGUUUUUGGGAAAUUUCUGUGACAUCUCUGCCGACUAACUUGGUCAAAAUUCUAUGGUACCCAUGUGGUCGGUACCAAAGUUAGAUUUUUGACCGUUGAAUUUAAAUAUUUUAAUCAUGACCGUUGAUCUAGAUUGUACGAAAAGGGGAAAACUUGCGUGUAAUCAGUUUCUUGUUAAGUGUAUUGUUUAAAAUGAUGAUCUAAUGAUAAUUAAGUAAUGAUAUUUUAUAUUAUUAAAUAUAUAAUUUAUAAUAAAUAAAAAAUAAUAUAUUAUCUAAUUUCUUUUUUAUUUUUAUUUAAAAAUGUAUCUAAUAAUAAUUUUAGUUUUUUUAUCAAUAAUUUGAGUUUAUUUUGAAUUUAAAUUUUACUAUAUUAGAUAACUAAAAAAAAAAAAUCAAUUUCAAUAUAAAUCAAUUAAAAAUGGAUUUUAAUUUAAUGUAAUUCUCAUAAAUAAAUUAAAAUAUAUUUUUCAUUUAAAAUAUUUAUUUUUUAACAUGAAAGUACUAAGGAUAAAAAAAUCAAUUUAAAAAAGAUAAAUUUUACAAUAAAAUUAUUUAAUAACAAGAAUCUUUAUUUUAUAAAAUGGAUAAAUAUGAAAAAAAUGUUAUAAAAUUAUUAAAUGUGAAUGUUAAUAUUUUAUAAAUCAAUUAAAAUAGAUAUUUUAUAAUUUUAAUUUUCUUUUAUUAAGGAUUUAAUUUAAAAUAAAUAUUUUAAUUUAAAAAAAAUUAAAUUUAUUAUAAGGCUCAUUCAAUAAUAUAAAUAGUGUUUUAUAAAAUAAAAUAAAAAAGUUUAAAAUUGAAUAAAAAAUUAUAGAAAUUUAUAAUUCAUUGAUCAUAUUUUGUUAUAAGUUGUUGAUAAGUCUCUAUUGUUAAGUGUAUUUAGUAACUUUUAUAUAGAACUUCUACUUAGAUGAGUUAGUUGGGUUGAUCGUUAAUCUAAGUCCAACCUAACUCAACUUCAUUUUUUUUUUAAGUUUGGAUUAGUCAAAUUAAACCGAUGUUGAUUGAACUUUGACUAUAGACUAUUCAUGAGACUCAAUAUUUAGAUUGUCAUCGUAUUGGUGAAAAAAGAUUUCAUAAUGAAAUGAUUCUCAUUGCUUUCUCUCUAUCAUUGGUAAGUUGUACUCAUGUGUCAGUGUUGUUGGAUUGUGUGACGUAUUUGUCACCAUGGGUUGAUCAAACUUUGACCAUAGCCAAUUCAAAAGCGACACCAUAUAUUUUUAAUGAUGCUUAAUUUGAUAUAGAGUUGUUUGAGAUAUAUAAUGUGUUAUAUUAAAUGCAUCACCUUUGAGUUAUGGUGUCACAUCAUUGUAAAUGAUUAUGAAAGAUAUGGUUGUUUUUUGUUGAUUAGCCUGUUAAUAAAUAAGAUCAACUUGUGCAUAUUUUGUCCAUAAAUAUAAUAAUCAUAUCACAUUUAACUUAUAUUUUUGUAAUGCUUAUGGAUUAACCUGUAAUACAUUACAUCAUCUAGUAAUAUUUGCAUAUCAAAUGUUCACAAAACGAUAGUACAUCAAACCUACCAAAACUAAAAAAGAAAAGUGAAUGCACAUUAAAACAUGAUUUAGAAAUGUUAAGCAUCCCAACAUUCAUGUAUACCUGCAUUUCAUAUGCAUAAAACCGGUUAACCGUAAAAUGACACAAGAGUUGCAUCCAAAAACCCAAAAUUCUCAAUACCAAAUAAAGUAACGUUUAUAUCCUAUAAUGUAUGGCAUCAGAGUCACAUCUAAAAACCAAAAAUCUUGUUGCCUCUUUCUCUUUUCUUUUUAUUCUUCAUACUGUCCUCCCAAAAGUGUAUCCUGCAUUUCAUAGUUUAAUGAGUUUUAAAGCUCUUAUUGAAAAUAAAAAUUAAUUAAUGUUAUAAAAAAUAAAUAAAUAAAUCUAAGGACUGAUGUUUUCUUUUUUCUUUUUCCCAUUUUGAUAUCAAAAUAAUUCGUAAAGAAUAAGUAAUGUCAUACAAUACUAAUGGAAAAUUCAUAUGACAACUAAGGGACUCACCAUGCAUGAUCACGAUACAUCAACAUGAUUCAUAAUUAGUCAUAACAUAAAAAUAGUCAAUUGUCUUCUAAUUUCAUCAAAUUCUACUUAAGAAUAUGUUUUUUUUUAUCAUCAAACUGAAAUCAAAUGAGAAUAACAUUAAUAUCACAAUAAUUGGAAGAUGAAAUUAUGUACAAUUCAUUAAAUGAGUAAAACCUUUAAUACAAUAACUAUAGAAUCAACAAUUAUCUCUUUAAUGAAUCUCAUAACAAAGUAGUCACAUUUGAACUCAAAUAAAAAUAAUUCAAGAAAAUAAAAAAUAAAUCAAAACUACAAAAUCAAAAUAUAAAUCUAAAAUUUUAGAAAAUACUAAUCUUCCACUUAAAAUCUGCACUUUUUAAAUUUAUUUUUUAUAAUUCAUUAUGUUUUUAAAAAUCAUUUUUAACAUUUAAUUCUUUUUAUAUAUAUAUAUUUUUUAUUUCUUGGAAGGAUUUUCUUAAUUUCAAUAUUUUUUAAUGUUCAUUUUGUGAAAUAAUAAUGUUCAUUAAAUUUCAUCUCAAUUAUAUAAAAUAAAAUUUUAGUAACAAAAUAUAAAAAUGUUUUCAACUACUAAUAUGAUAGGACAUGAUAUUAUAACAAGCAUGAAAAUUGUGUAUAUAAGACCAAAAACCUAAUUCAUUAUUAAAAAAUGUUAAGAGAAAAAAUAGUAUGAGAAAGAAUUAAACAAUUUUUCAUAAAAAUUAUUGAUUUUUCGGUUAUAACUCCAAUUGAUAUUUUUUUUUCUAAUUAAAAUAAUUAAUAAAAAAUUUUGGAUAUGAAAAAUAUGUUCAAAUAAAAAUAAUAACAAUUUUAAAAUAUCAAAGGAAAAGAUAUUCAAUAUUUUAAAUUUUUUACUUUUAAUAUUCUUCAGAUCAAUAAAUUAUCAAACAUCUUUUUCAAAAAAAAAAAAAUUGAAGAAAAGGAAGACCUUUGUGAAAGGAAUUGGAAAUUUUUUUGUAAUAAAAUGAUUUUAUAGAAAUUUCAUAACCUUGAAAGGAAAAUUUCAUCAUCAAUUUCAAAUUACUCCAAAAUUUAGUCAAUGCAUAUAAAAACAAUAAGAAAAAAAAGACAAAAAUAAAACAUAUUUUGAGAAUCCUUUUGCGGGAGAUGACAAUAUUGCGAAUAAUUUUUGAGAAAAUUAUUUUCCUAAUAUGACCAACCAAUAUCUUCAUCACAACAUACUAUAAUAUUCUUAGAAAAUAAACAAAUUAAAGGAAUUUUCAUUAAAAAUCAAAAGAAAAUUAUAAAACAUCUUCUUAAAAAAAAAAAGUUUUAUAGAAGGAAUUAAAAAAAUUUAUGUAAUAAAAGGAUUUUAUAGAAAUUUUCUAACCUUGAAAGAGAAAUUCUAAAUUUUGGUCAACGCAUAUAAAAACAAUAAGAAAAUAAAGUAAAAACAAAAAACAAAAAACAAAAAACAUAUUUCAAGAAUAGAAAAAAUAUAAAUAGAACAAGAUGAGAUAUUAACCAUAAUACCAAGUAAAAUAAUAAUAAAAAAAAUCAAAAUAUAAGAUUUGAUCAUUUUUAUAAUUAUAAAAAUUUUCAUUCCUAUUUAAAAUUUAAAAAACAAUUCAUUUACAUGAAUAAAUAAAUAAUUAAACUAAUUUUUCAUUGUUAAUUCCAACAUUCCAAACCAAUGCCAAUAUGAUAUGGAAAUUAUUUCAUUUUUCCUUUUGUGGGAGAUGACAAUAUUAAGAAUAACUUUCUAAAAAAUUAUUUUUCAUGAGUGUGAGAAGAGGUAGAAGAAAAUUAUGGUUAGGGUUAUGGAAUGAGAUUUUUUUUUGGAUCGGGAGUAUGUGGAAACAAUGAGUUUUUUAUAUAUUAUUAUUAUUCUCAAAGUGGGCCCGUUAAAUUAUAGUAUUUUAAAAUUUUUAUUUUAUAUGGUGUCACUUUUCAAAAACUGACACUAUAAACUUAAAAUUAAUAUCAUCUAUCUUAAUUAAAAAAAUUUAUAUGAUGUGUCACCUUUAUGGAUUUUAAGUCAUAUGGUGUCUUUAUUUUAAAAGUGACACCAUAAAUUAUUUUUGUAGUAGUGAUUCUUUACUUAGGAUGUUACGGGUUAAGCUAUCGAAUCAACUCUUAGGGUUAAAGGAGUGUUAACGUUCUAAAGAAUUUUUUUAUGUGAUAAAUGACGAAUUUAGCCUCAUUAUAUAUUUAAACUUCUUAUGAAUUAGGAUUUUUUAGAGAGCGUGAUCAUAAUUAAGAAAUUUUUUUGAGAGUUUUACCAUUAUAAUCUUUCUUUUCUUUUGAUUAGUGGAUUCUUAAAUGUUAAUAUAUUUUAUGGACUUAAGAAUCACAUUGAUCAUCGAACCACAUUAAAAAAUUUAUGUUUUUAUUUAUUUUCUGUUAAUGUGUACAUGAUUUGAUUAAAAAGUGUCACCAUGUUCUUUAGCUUGUCUGUCUAACCUCUUGUUUAGGAACUGUUAGAAGAGUGAUCGACCUCCCCAUCUCAUAAAGAACUUCUUUUGAAUCAUUUUCCAGUUUUAUUAAUCACCUUAUUUUUGUUAAUAGUAAUAUUUGCUUUCUGCAUGAAAUUAUGUUCAUUAUUUUCACUGAAUAUGAAAUUAUUUAAGCUAUGUUAUAUAACCAUUACAUUGAAUUUUGCCCAGAUGUCCAUUGGGCAUCUGGACACCAGUGGAACCAUGGCCACUGCAUGUCAGAACAAGCAAAAGUACGUGGUCUAAUGAUAUUUAAUAGGUCGGCUACUAACCACCCAACUCAUUGAAUGCUGAUUGAGACUCUUAUAUGGAACCAUGCAUGGCCACUGCAUAUUCGGUCAAGCAAAAGAAAGUGGUCUAAUGAUAUUUAAUAGGUCGGCUACUAACCAGCCAACUUAUUGAAUGUUGACUGGGACUCUUAUAUAGGUCUAUGUUGACUGAAUAUUAGAAGAAGUGAUGAUAUAUAAGCAUGUUGCCCUAAAACAUGAUCGACUUAUAGGAUAUAUAGUUUGUUAUGCCAAUGAAAGCUUUGAUGCCAACAAUGUUAGUUCAAGAACACAAAGAUAAAACAAUCACACAUACGGUACACGAGGUUUUAACGUGGUUCAGCCAACUAUGCCUACGUCCACAGAUAAGAGAGAAUAAUUCCACUAUACAAUAGAGAAUAUUACAGAGGACAUAAUCAAAUACAACUAUUGGGUUCCCGAAACAUCACAUAUUUCCCCACUCUUUGUAUCUAUACCCUACUACGAGCCAUCUCGCUCCACAGAGUACCUCCCAUUCUUCCUCACAUCUCUAUCCACCUCGUAUAGUUUUUAUAAGCCCAUUUCCAUCUCAUAACUUUUCCCCCUCAUGACCUAGAAUAUUUAUAGAGAUAUUUCCAACAACCUUCCUUAUUCUAUAAGGAAGUCUAUAUUACAAUAAUAUAUCAACCUAGAAGUAUUCUAUAUAAUAUUCUUUAUAAAAAAAGAAUCUAUACUAAUUAGGAAUUUGGGACACGUCCUAACAAUCUCCACCUUGGACCAAAUUCCAUGAAGUUAAUCUCCAAUCUCUCCAUGACACAAAUCUUUUUGUAUCGUAUCACCACGAAAGAGCAAUCGACUCCACCUUCAGUGAAAAUUCCUUUUGUUUUCAUCUUGUGUGCUUUGUGAUCUUUUACUCUUCCAGAAAUCUCAACCCAAGCUCUGAUACCAGUUGAAGGGAAUUAAGUCGAAUUCUCAACCUGUUUUCCCACAGUUCCAGCAUUAUACUUGUUGGCCUGAUUUAGAUUUGCUUCUGUUCUGAUUAGAAUUUCUGGAUUUUGAUCUACCCCAGUUUGAAUUUCUGUCAUUACCUCUGCUUCUUGUCUCAAGGUUUAGGGCAGAACCAAAUCCUGAGGUUUCGCCUGCAUCUCUUCGGCGAAUCUCCUCAGCCAGAAUUAAAUCUCGUAUAUCAUUGUACUUGAGCUUUUCCUUUCCCAUAGAAUUGCUUACUGUCAUCCUCAUUGUCUCCCAACUAUUUGGCAAAGAAGCUAAGACGAUCAGAGCACGAAUCUCAUCAUCAAAAUCAAUUUCUACAUACGACAAUUGAUUUGUAAUUGUAUUAAAUUCAUUCAGAUGUUGUGCUAUUGAUGCAUUUUCUGUCAUCUUCAAAUUGAACAAUUUCUUCAUCAGAUGCACCUUAUUGUUUUCGGACGGCUUUUCAUACAUACCGGACAAAGCCUUCAUCAGAUCUGUUGUGGUCUUCUCUUUUACAACAUUGUGUGCAACAGACCUAGACAAAGUUAACCUAAUAACUCCUAGAACCUAUAUGUCAAGAAGCACCCAUUCCUUAACCUUCAUACUCUCAGGUUUUGUCCCCAAAAGAGGCAGAUGCAAUUUCUUCUCAUAGAGAUAAUCUUCAAUCUGCAUCCUCUAAUACGCAAAGUCUGUGCCAUCAAACUUUUCUAUUCUAGAUGUCUUUCCUGCUUCCUCUGCCAUUGCUCCCACUCAAACCUAAUCCUAGGCUCUGAUACCAGUUGAAGGGAAUUAAGCCGAAUUCCCAACCUGUGAGAAACAAAAAAAAAUAGAGAAAACACACGCCAAAGAAAAACAAUCAACGCACAAGAAAGUCUACGUCCAUGAAGUUGCAGGGAUAUCACUAUUAUCAGGGAAAAAUCCAGAGUACAACAAUUGCGGCUACAAUAUUUUCUCUCUAUAUAUAACACAACAACUACACCACACUAAAAAACCCUAAUUACAAAAGAUGGUUCCACAAUGGGCUAAGCGGGCCCAAAAGCCCAAGCCUUCGCUCCAUGGACUAAGACUCAGUAAAUCUCCCAUUAAAAAACCACGUAAUAUUAUUCGAGUCGGGUCGCCAAACCGGAUCAAACAAAACUAGGCUCCACAAAGCCUGACAUAAACACACAAAGGCAACUACAAUAAUAUUAUACAACAAAUUUUUAACAAAAUCUACUUCAAUUUGAACCUCUCUCCCUUGAGUGUUUCCAUGGUUAAGAACUAGCUACUUGUAUCUCAUACUUGGCCAUGAUUGGUGUGGUUUCCUUGUACCAAAUUGAAUUGGGUUCUUCACUUGUUGCAUAGCUUGAACUUGUACCGGUUUCAUUUGCCUGCUAGAACAUGUUCAUCCCUAUUGAGUACAGAUAAUGAAAUGGUUUUGGCGGGGGCAUGACUUCUACUCCUUCCUCCAACAUCUUUACCAUAGUACUCAUCGGAGGCCUCGAGUCGGGUGAGUCCUGGACACACUAUAGAGCCACCAUAGACAUUCUCUCUGUUUUCUCCCUGUUCUUCUCUUCAAUUCCACAGGCCACAGUCAUUGCUGCUAAAUUCCCUUUCUCAUACUCUUCCCAAACAUGUUUGAAGAACCAAUCCAUGCUAUCAUUAGAACCGACUUUGGCAUUCCUUCUUCUCCCAACUAUCUCAAACAACAACAUCCCAAAGCUAAAAACAUCACAUUUAUUGGUUAUGGGAAGGUUUUUCAGUAAAAAUUCUGGUGCUGAGUAGCCUGGAGUCCCUCUAUAUCCCGAGACUGUCAGGUGAGUGUUGUCCCUGUUACAAAGCUUAGCAAGCCCAAAGUCUGCAACCUUAGGAAAGAAGUUAGCAUCAAGGAGAACGUUACCGGGUUUUAUGUCAUAGUGA
rnacentral:lncRNA from 1 species